rnacentral:rRNA from 1 species
GUGGGGAAUUUUGGACAAUGGGCGCAAGCCUGAUCCAGCCAUUCCGCGUGCAGGAUGAAGGCCUUCGGGUUGUAAACUGCUUUUGUACGGAACGAAAAGGUCCUUUCUAAUAAAGAGGGCUCAUGACGGUACCGUAAGAAUAAGCACCGGCUAACUACGUGCCAGCAGCCGCGGUAAUACGUAGGGUGCGAGCGUUAAUCGGAAUUACUGGGCGUAAAGCGUGCGCAGGCGGUGAUGUAAGACAGUUGUGAAAUCUCCGGGCUCAACCUGGGAACUGCAUCUGUGACUGCAUUGCUGGAGUGCGGCAGAGGGGGAUGGAAUUCCGCGUGUAGCAGUGAAAGGCGUAGAUAUGCGGAGGAACACCGAUGGCGAAGGCAAUCCCCUGGGCCUGCACUGACGCUCAUGCACGAAAGCGUGGGGAGCAAACAGGAUUAGAAACCCGAGUAGUCC